UACAGGGGGAGCAAGCGUUGUUCGGAUUUACUGGGCGUAAAGGGCGCGUAGGCGGCCAGCACAAGUCAGUUGUGAAAUCUCCGAGCUUAACUCGGAAAGGUCAACUGAUACUGUGCGGCUAGAGUGCGGAAGGGGCAACUGGAAUUCUUGGUGUAGCGGUGAAAUGCGUAGAUAUCAAGAGGAACACCUGCGGCGAAGGCGGGUUGCUGGGCCGACACUGACGCUGAGGAGCGAAAGCGUGGGGAGCAAACAGG
rnacentral:rRNA from 1 species